CUCGUUAUCAUGAUUCUGUUUUUGCGAUUAGUUUUAUUUUUCGAAUUUGAUCUACCUACAGUGUGGAUUUCUCUCCUAAGAACUUGCUAAUGAACACAUCGCCGACCAAUGUCGAUGUUCUUGGACCCACAAAGAUUUGUUGACUACACCCUAGAAAGACGGUGAUCGUACGUACUUCAGAUGAGCAAGACACCACCGUGAUGUACCGGAUGUACACGCGUCGUGACGUCCCGCUGACGCACGAUCUGUCCUGCCCCGAGACGCUACAGUAGCCAUCGUCGUCUCGAUGAUACACGAUGUGUCAUACCCGCUGUACACCCACAGCGCCGACUACGCUCGCACCAGCUGCACCGGCCACGACGC
rnacentral:lncRNA from 1 species